rnacentral:rRNA from 1 species
AGCGGACAGAUGGGAGCUUGCUCCCUGAUGUUAGCGGCGGACGGGUGAGUAACACGUGGGUAACCUGCCUGUAAGACUGGGAUAACUCCGGGAAACCGGGGCUAAUACCGGAUGGUUGUUUGAACCGCAUGGUUCAAACAUAAAAGGUGGCUUCGGCUACCACUUACAGAUGGACCCGCGGCGCAUUAGCUAGUUGGUGAGGUAACGGCUCACCAAGGCAACGAUGCGUAGCCGACCUGAGAGGGUGAUCGGCCACACUGGGACUGAGACACGGCCCAGACUCCUACGGGAGGCAGCAGUAGGGAAUCUUCCGCAAUGGACGAAAGUCUGACGGAGCAACGCCGCGUGAGUGAUGAAGGUUUUCGGAUCGUAAAGCUCUGUUGUUAGGGAAGAACAAGUACCGUUCGAAUAGGGCGGUACCUUGACGGUACCUAACCAGAAAGCCACGGCUAACUACGUGCCAGCAGCCGCGGUAAUACGUAGGUGGCAAGCGUUGUCCGGAAUUAUUGGGCGUAAAGGGCUCGCAGGCGGUUUCUUAAGUCUGAUGUGAAAGCCCCCGGCUCAACCGGGGAGGGUCAUUGGAAACUGGGGAACUUGAGUGCAGAAGAGGAGAGUGGAAUUCCACGUGUAGCGGUGAAAUGCGUAGAGAUGUGGAGGAACACCAGUGGCGAAGGCGACUCUCUGGUCUGUAACUGACGCUGAGGAGCGAAAGCGUGGGGAGCGAACAGGAUUAGAUACCCUGGUAGUCCACGCCGUAAACGAUGAGUGCUAAGUGUUAGGGGGUUUCCGCCCCUUAGUGCUGCAGCUAAC